UACGUAGGGACCAAGCGUUGUUCGGAUUUACUGGGCGUAAAGGGCGCGUAGGCGGCGUGGUAAGUCAAUUGUGAAAUCUCCGAGCUUAACUCGGAACGGUCAAUUGAUACUGCUGUGCUAGAGUGCAGAAAGGGCAAUCGGAAUUCUUGGUGUAGCGGUGAAAUGCGUAGAUAUCAAGAGGAACACCUGAGGCGAAGGCGGGUUGCUAGGCUGACACUGACGCUGAUGCGCGAAAGCUAGGGUAGCAAACGGG
rnacentral:rRNA from 1 species